CUGACCCAGCCAUGCCGCGUGCAGGAAGAAGGCCUUCUGGGUUGUAAACUGCUUUUGAUCGGGAACAAAAAGCCCUUGCGAGGGAAAUUGAGUGUACCGAUAGAAUAAGCACCGGCUAACUCCGUGCCAGCAGCCGCGGUAAUACGGAGGGUGCAAGCGUUGUCCGGAUUUAUUGGGUUUAAAGGGUGCGUAGGCGGCUAUUUAAGUCAGUGGUGAAAUCCUGCAGCUCAACUGUAGAACAGCCAUUGAUACUGAAUAGCUUGAGUACAGACGAGGUAGGCGGAAUUUAUGGUGUAGCGGUGAAAUGCAUAGAUACCAUAAAGAACCCCUAUUGCGAAGGCAGCUUACUAGGCUGUAACUGACGCUGAGGCACGAAAGCGUGGGGAUCAAACAGGAUUAGAUACCCUGGUAGUCCACGCCGUAAACGAUGAUUACUCGAUGUUCGCGAUAUACAGUGAGCGUCCAAGCGAAAGCGUUAAGUAAUCCACCUGGGAAGUACGAUCGCAAGAUUGAAACUC
rnacentral:rRNA from 1 species